rnacentral:rRNA from 1 species
AUUGAACGCUGGCGGCAGGCUUAACACAUGCAAGUCGAGCGGAGAUGAGGUGCUUGCACCUUAUCUUAGCGGCGGACGGGUGAGUAAUGCUUAGGAAUCUGCCUAUUAGUGGGGGACAACAUUCCGAAAGGAAUGCUAAUACCGCAUACGCCCUACGGGGGAAAGCAGGGGAUCCUCGGACCUUGCGCUAAUAGAUGAGCCUAAGUCGGAUUAGCUAGUUGGUGGGGUAAAGGCCUACCAAGGCGACGAUCUGUAGCGGGUCUGAGAGGAUGAUCCGCCACACGGGGACUGGGACACGGCCCAGACUCCUACGGGAGGCAGCAGUGGGGAAUAUUGGACAAUGGGCGGAAGCCUGAUCCAGCCAUGCCGCGUGUGUGAAGAAGGCCUUUUGGUUGUAAAGCACUUUAAGCGAGGAGGAGGCUACCUGGAUUAAUACUCUAGGAUAGUGGACGUUACUCGCAGAAUAAGCACCGGCUAACUCUGUGCCAGCCGCCGCGGUAAUAC